GGCGUCUAAUACCGGAUACGAGCUGCGACCGCAUGGUCAGUAGCUGGAAAGAAUUUCGGUCAGGGAUGAGCUCGCGGCCUAUCAGCUUGUUGGUGAGGUAAUGGCUCACCAAGGCGUCGACGGGUAGCCGGCCUGAGAGGGUGACCGGCCACACUGGGACUGAGACACGGCCCAGACUCCUACGGGAGGCAGCAGUGGGGAAUAUUGCACAAUGGGCGCAAGCCUGAUGCAGCAACGCCGCGUGAGGGAUGACGGCCUUCGGGUUGUAAACCUCUUUUAGCAGGGAAGAAGCGAAAGUGACGGUACCUGCAGAAAAAGCGCCGGCUAACUACGUGCCAGCAGCCGCGGUAAUACGUAGGGCGCAAGCGUUAUCCGGAAUUAUUGGGCGUAAAGAGCUCGUAGGCGGUCUGUCGCGUCUGCUGUGAAAACCCGAGGCUCAACCUCGGGCCUGCAGUGGGUACGGGCAGACUAGAGUGCGGUAGGGGAGAUUGGAAUUCCUGGUGUAGCGGUGGAAUGCGCAGAUAUCAGGAGGAACACCGAUGGC
rnacentral:rRNA from 1 species